GGACAGAUGGCCGAGCGGUCUAAGGCGCCAGACUCAAGCUGUACAAGUUUGUCUAACAAUUAGUUGGAUGUCUUCUGGUCUCGUAAGAGGCAUGGGUUCGAAUCCCAUUCUGUUCA
rnacentral:tRNA from 1 species